rnacentral:rRNA from 1 species
GAUGAACGCUGGCGGCGUGCCUAAUACAUGCAAGUCGAGCGAACAGACGAGGAGCUUGCUCCUCUGACGUUAGCGGCGGACGGGUGAGUAACACGUGGAUAACCUACCUAUAAGACUGGGAUAACUUCGGGAAACCGGAGCUAAUACCGGAUAAUAUAUUGAACCGCAUGGUUCAAUAGUGAAAGACGGUUUUGCUGUCACUUAUAGAUGGAUCCGCGCCGCAUUAGCUAGUUGGUAAAGUAACGGCUUACCAAGGCAACGAUGCGUAGCCGACCUGAGAGGGUGAUCGGCCACACUGGAACUGAGACACGGUCCAGACUCCUACGGGAGGCAGCAGUAGGGAAUCUUCCGCAAUGGGCGAAAGCCUGACGGAGCAACGCCGCGUGAGUGAUGAAGGUCUUCGGAUCGUAAAACUCUGUUAUCAGGGAAGAACAAAUGUGUAAGUAACUAUGCACGUCUUGACGGUACCUAAUCAGAAAGCCACGGCUAACUACGUG